UAAUACAGAGGUGGCAAGCGUUGUUCGGAAUUACUGGGCGUAAAGGGCGCGUAGGCGGUCUUUUAAGUUCCGUGUGAAAUCCCUCGGCUCAACUGGGGAACUGCACGGGAAACUGGAAGGCUUGAGUUCGGGAGAGGGAAGCGGAAUUCCGGGUGUAGCGGUGAAAUGCGUAGAUAUCCGGAGGAACACCGGUGGCGAAGGCGGCUUCCUGGACCGACACUGACGCUGAGGCGCGAAAGCUAGGGGAGCAAACGGGAUUAGAUA
rnacentral:rRNA from 1 species